UGAAAUUGGACCACAAGGAGCUUCAUGUGGUAGAUGAUCUUUGGCUUGGGUAGUGGAUGAAUCGGCACGUAUUUGUUUUUUGCGCUUUGUUGACUUUCCACAGCUUUGAUCUUGAACUGGGUUGGAGAAUUUUCUGGAUUCCUCCAAUUGUUGAUUUUCCACAGCUUAUUCUUGAACUAGGUUUUGAUUCAAGAGUGGUAGACACUUGAUCUUGAAUCGAACUUGUGAUUUCUUCAAGGGCCGUCGAGGCUUGAUCUUGAAUUUGGCCGGAAACUUCUUCAAGGGCCGUUGAUGCUUGAUUCUUGAAGGUUGACUCGAACACAUGGCAAGCAGGCACGAGGUAAAGGUGACGACUUGUUGCUUUGUUCAAUCUUUCUAAUUCACACCUGAGCAGUUUGGUCAACGGUAUGAUCUUCAAGAUUGAUGGGCUCUUCUUCCAGUUGAUGACUUGAUCUUUAAGGAUUUGAUUCAAGGGUGGUGAAACGGCACAUGCAGCCCACAACACCUAGCAAGUCGACCCAAGAAUUUGAGGGUCAAAACGAGUCCUCCACCCAGAGUGAUUGCAAACCUGAUG
rnacentral:lncRNA from 1 species